rnacentral:rRNA from 1 species
AGUGAACGCCGGCGGUAGGCCUAACACAUGCAAGUCGAACGGCAGCACAGUAAGAGCUUGCUCUUACGGGUGGCGAGUGGCGGACGGGUGAGGAAUACAUCGGAAUCUACUUUUUCGUGGGGGAUAACGUAGGGAAACUUACGCUAAUACCGCAUACGACCUACGGGUGAAAGCAGGGGAUCUUCGGACCUUGCGCGAUUGAAUGAGCCGAUGUCGGAUUAGCUAGUUGGCGGGGUAAAGGCCCACCAAGGCGACGAUCCGUAGCUGGUCUGAGAGGAUGAUCAGCCACACUGGAACUGAGACACGGUCCAGACUCCUACGGGAGGCAGCAGUGGGGAAUAUUGGACAAUGGGCGCAAGCCUGAUCCAGCCAUACCGCGUCGGUGAAGAAGGCCUUCGGGUUGUAAAGCCCUUUUGUUGGGAAAGAAAAGCAGCAGGUUAAUACCCCGCUGUUCUGACGGUACCCAAAGAAUAAGCACCGGCUAACUUCGUG